AUACAUCUAGAACAAGCGUCACAUAAGCAGAUGUACGUGCAGGACUGGGACUCUCCCCCCGGGUUUUCCACAGAUCCUUGGCCUCCAGGGCCACCCAAAGAGGGUAGGCAUUGGGGCUCCCCUACGGAAGCGCAUCUCAGACCUGCACGUGCCCGGGCAUCACGCGGGGAGCUCGUUAGACCGCAGAGGUAGAUACGGUGAGCCUGGGGCCUGAGAUUCUGCAUUUCUAACAAAGUUGCGGGUGAUGCCAAGGCUACGGGCCCACUGACCAGCCUCUGGGAAGCAAGGGUCUAGCGCAGGCCUGAUGACCCUGUGUUGUGAAAAGUCCGUCCUGUGUGUCGUAGCACGUGUAGCAGCAUCCCUGGGCUCUCCCUCUAGAUGCCAGGAGCAUCCCCGCACAGUGUGUCAACCAAAAAAUGUCCGCACAUACUGUCAAGCGUCCCUGGAGGGGACGAUGGUGGGUGACUGAGACCCACUGGUCUAGUCCAAACUUAACUGCCACCCCAAAGACAGCAUGGCUAAUGAGAAGAAAAGAAUGUGACCACCCCUCCAGACUUAUCCUCACCACUCCUUCCCCUCUGCCGCUUAAGCCUUCCAGGGGGCCAUGAGCCAACAUACGCGGAUACAAAUGCAAAUUAGACAGGCCAGUUCCCUCCUGAGGAUCCCCUGUGCCGUCAGAAUAAAAACCCAGACUCCUCAACCUGCCCAGGGGAUAUACCUGAGUAUCUCUCGUCUCUCAAGACUGUGGUGCCACCACACUCCCAGCCCAGGAAGCAGGAUCAAUGUGAAAACAUACAUGCUGAAUGAACGAACGAACGAACGAUGAAGUGAAUCAUCUCUGAAUCAUUCCCCCAGUGACAGAGUCAAGGAAACAGGCACAGAGGAAGCAAUGGACGCCCAGCCCGAUGAGAACUCGUUACGCAGUUUUUGGCUGUAUGUUCCUCCUCUCAGAAUCAGGCCUCAGAGCAGAAGAGCUACAAGACAUUUAUUCCAGUUCCAAAGGUGAAGAGCAGACUACUCACGGCUGGUCAGAUCAAAUUGUCGGUACGUUUUCCCCUAUCUUGGAUUGAAACUGCCUCCCGGAAUAUCCACUGUUCAUCCAAGUUCAGCUUCUUAAAAAUCUACUCCUUUUUCUCCUCCCAAGCCUUCAAACCCAUGAAGGGUUGUUGCUCCUAAAUAUUUCUCUUGGGAGCGUAUUAGAACAAAGUGGCUAUUAUGGGGUAUCUGGGCAUUAUUAGUAACUGCUGAGUAUGGAAGGAAGAAAAGUCCAUCUGCUUAGAAGAACUAAACAAUCAGAAGUGGACAUGGCCUGGAUUGGCCCAGCGUCCCUCUUCUGGCUGCUGCCCUCCCCCCCUCAUUCAUGUGGCUCAGGGGCAGCGGCCACGUAUGUAUGUUAUGCUCCAGCACCCCCUACACCCCAGCCCAAGAUAAGCACGCUGUCCAAGCUAAACCAAGGAGUCCCUUCUCCAGAACACUUGGGUAUAGGGCCGAGAGAUUCUACCUGGCUGCUCUCCCGAAGAGCAAGACUACAUUCCCCCAUGUGGGUAGGAGAAGAAGAGGGGGAAGGAAGUCUACAGAGUGAGGUUAGAGCGGAUAUCCAGGAGAAGCAAAGAAAGAAGAAGAGCUGGGGCUUCUUGGGCUCCUUACGACACUCCUGUCCCUGGUGUCAGCCAUUCUUGGGUUCCCAGCAGCAUAUUCUAAUAUUCCCCCCCAUGCCUGAGCAAACUUGAGUGGAUUCUGUUAGUUGCUCCCCAGAUCCUAACAAAUGUCCCAUCCAACCUGGGUGGGUGUCUCACCCAAGCUUUGAAGCCAGCCUGAGAAGGUGCCAGUGCCUGCCUAAUGCAGCCCAUGGCACUGCAUGGCCCCACCAUGCUCCCGGGGCCCUGCUGGUCUAAGGCACAUCAGGGUGUUGGUUGCCCGGUUCUUACCGGCAGGCACAGGGCUCCUCCGGUGGAGAUCAGUCCAGCCGUAAGGCCCAGCACCAUGGCGAGCCAAGGCGAGCUGAUCAGAUAACACGAGGCACCCACAGCCACACCUCCGGCCAGUACCGCAUUGUGGAUAUGAUUCUGCAAAGAAACAGCUCGUGGGCGAGUGAAGCGAGGCACAGAGAGGACAACAUCUCGCCCAGGGUUGCUUGGUAAGCUGGUAGCAAGCAACACCGUAAUAUCUUCCCUGCUUCACACCCCCUCCUCUCCAUUGAGAGUCCAUGGCCUUCAUCAAUUGUCUUCAUCUGACUCCACUUCUCAGGCUCAGGGGGCCGGCAACCUGACUGGGAGGCAUUGAACUUCAAAGCGCAUCCCAGUCACCCUCGCGCUUGUUAGUGAUGUGUCUUUGGCCACCUAAGCAUUCGUGCUUCAGCUUUUCCGCUGGAAGAUUGGAGUUUUAGCAGCACCUACUUAAUGCGGUUACGGUAAGAUUAAAUGAGUUACCGCAUGUACAACUCUGAGCCCAGGGCCUAGCUAGCAGGGACCGUGAGUAAAGGCUCAAGAAAUAUAACCCAUCAUUAUUGCUUUUA